CUCUACGUGUAGGGUGUUGCCGGUACUGCAGGAAUAAGCAUCGGCUAACUCCGUGCCAGCAGCCGCGGUAAUACGGAGGAUGCAAGCGUUAUCCGGAUUUAUUGGGUUUACAGGGUGCGUAGGCGGGCUUGUAAGUCAGUGGUGAAAUGCUGUGGCUUAACCAUAGAAUUGCCAUUGAAACUGCAAGUCUUGAGUAACAGUUGAGGUGGGCGGAAUGAGUAAUGUAGCGGUGAAAUGCAUAGAUAUUACUCAGAACUCCGAUUGCGUAGGCAGCUUGCUAAACUGUAACUGACGCUGAUGCACGAAAGCGUGGGGAGCGAACAGGAUUAGAUACCCUGGUAGUCCACGCUGUAAACGAUGAGCACUGGUUGUUGGCAAUACACCGUCAGCGACUGAGCGAAAGUAUUAAGUGCUCCACCUGGGGAGUACGUCGGCAACGAUGAAACUCAAAGGAAUUGACGGGGGCCCGCACAAGCGGAGGAACAUGUGGUUUAAUUCGAUGAUACGCGAGGAACCUUACCUGGGCUUAAAUGUAGAGUGCAUUGCUUGGAAACAGGCAUUUUCUUCGGAACUCUUUACAAGGUGCUGCAUGGUUGUCGUCAGCUCGUGCCGUGAGGUGUCGGGUUAAGUCCCAUAACGAGCGCAACCCCUAUUGUUAGUUACCAGCACGUAAUGGUGGGGACUCUAGCAAGACUGCCGGUGUAAACCGUGAGGAAGGUGGGGAUGACGUCAAAUCAGCACGGCCCUUAUGUCCAGGGCUACACACGUGUUACAAUGGCAAGUACAAAGAGCAGCCACCUGGCGACAGGGCGCUAAUCUCAAAAGCUUGCCUCAGUUCGGAUCGAAGUCUGCAACUCGACUUCGUGAAGGUGAUUCGCUAGUAUCGCGCAUCAGCCAUGGCGCGGUGAAUACGUUCCCGGGCAUUGUACACACCGCCCGUCA
rnacentral:rRNA from 1 species